CAAAGAAUUUAGUAAAAUAACUUAGUUAUCAUUCAGCUAGUGUUAGGAACAUAAAUUGUGUCUAAGGUUUGGUGGAAGAUUUUAAUUCAAAACUUCUGAAAACAAGACAUUUGUACUCAGAGCCAGGGGUGGUUUCAGCUGAGUUGGUA